ensembl:snRNA U6 U6 spliceosomal RNA
GUGCUCGUUUUGGCAGCACAUACACCAAAACUGGAACGAUACAGAGAAGAUUCGCAUAGCCCCCGGGGCAAAGACAUGUGAGUAACCAGACCAGAUCAGUUCUU